UCCCUGGUGGUCCAGUGGUUAGGACACCACGCUUUCGCUGCUGGGGGCCCGGGUUUGAUCCCUGGUCAGGGAA